rnacentral:rRNA from 1 species
GCAAGUCGAACGCUGAAGCACCAGCUUGCUGGUGUGGAUGAGUGGCGAACGGGUGAGUAAUACGUGAGUAACCUGCCCUUGACUCUGGGAUAAGCCCGGGAAACUGGGUCUAAUACUGGAUGCUACAUGUCACCGCAUGGUGGUGUGUGGAAAGGGUUUACUGGUCUUGGAUGGGCUCACGGCCUAUCAGCUUGUUGGUGAGGUAAUGGCUCACCAAGGCGACGACGGGUAGCCGGCCUGAGAGGGUGACCGGCCACACUGGGACUGAGACACGGCCCAGACUCCUACGGGAGGCAGCAGUGGGGAAUAUUGCACAAUGGGCGAAAGCCUGAUGCAGCGACGCCGCGUGAGGGAUGACGGCCUUCGGGUUGUAAACCUCUUUCAGCAGGGAAGAAGCCACAAGUGACGGUACCUGCAGAAGAAGCGCCGGCUAACUACGUGCCAGCAGCCGCGGUAAUACGUAGGGCGCAAGCGUUGUCCGGAAUUAUUGGGCGUAAAGAGCUCGUAGGCGGUUUGUCGCGUCUGCUGUGAAAGCCCGGGGCUUAACCCCGGGUGUGCAGUGGGUACGGGCAGACUAGAGUGCAGUAGGGGAGACUGGAAUUCCUGGUGUAGCGGUGGAA